UACAGAGGGGGCAAGCGUUAUUCGGAAUUAUUGGGCGUAAAGGGCGCGUAGGCGGCCUGACAAGUGGAAGGUGAAAUCCCUCGGCUUAACCGAGGAACUGCCUUCCAAACUGUUUGGCUUGAGUCCGGGAGAGGCGAGUGGAAUUCCGCGUGUAGCAGUGAAAUGCGUAGAUAUGCGGAGGAACACCGAUGGCGAAGGCAAUCCCCUGGGCCUGUACUGACGCUCAUGCACGAAAGCGUGGGGAGCAAACAGG
rnacentral:rRNA from 1 species